AAUCAACGCUGGCGGCGUGCCUCAGACGUGCAAGUCGAACGAUUAAAGCUCCCUUCGGGGAGUGCAUAAAGUGGCGCACGGGUGAGUAACACGUAAGUAAUCUACCCUCGGGUGGGGAAUAACGUCCGGAAACGGACGCUAAUACCGCAUAAUGCAGCGGCACCGCAAGGUGACAGUUGUAAGAUUAUUGCCUGGGAGGAGCUUGCGGCAGAUUAGCUAGUUGGUAAGGUAACGGCUUACCAAGGCUACGAUCUGUAUCCGGUCUAAGAGGACGGUCGGAC
rnacentral:rRNA from 1 species